GAUGAAGAACGCAGUGAAAUGCGAUAAGUAAUGUGAAUUGCAGAAUUCAGUGAAUCAUCGAAUCUUUGAACGCACAUUGCGCCCGCCAGUAUUCUGGCGGGCAUGCCUGUUCGAGCGUCAUUUCAACCAUCAAGCCCCGGGCUUGUGUUGGGAACCUGCGGCUGCCGCAGGCCCUGAAAUGCAGUGGCGGGCUCGCUGUCACUCCGAGCGUAGUAGUUACAUCUCGCUCUGGGCGUGCUGCGGGUUCCGGCCGUUAAAAGCCUUAUUUACCCAAGGUUGACCUCGGAUCAGGUAGGAAGACCCGCUGAACUUAAGCAUAUCAAUAAGCGGAGGA
rnacentral:misc_RNA from 1 species